UGGGGAAUAUUGCACAAUGGGCGCAAGCCUGAUGCAGCCAUGCCGCGUGUGUGAAGAAGGCCUUCGGGUUGUAAAGCACUUUCAGCGGGGAGGAAGGCGGUGAGGUUAAUAACCUCACCGAUUGACGUUACCCGCAGAAGAAGCACCGGCUAACUCCGUGCCAGCAGCCGCGGUAAUACGGAGGGUGCAAGCGUUAAUCGGAAUUACUGGGCGUAAAGCGCACGCAGGCGGUCUGUCAAGUCGGAUGUGAAAUCCCCGGGCUCAACCUGGGAACUGCAUUCGAAACUGGCAGGCUAGAGUCUUGUAGAGGGGGGUAGAAUUCCAGGUGUAGCGGUGAAAUGCGUAGAGAUCUGGAGGAAUACCGGUGGCGAAGGUGGCCCCCUGGACAAAGACUGACGCUCAGGUGCGAAAGCGUGGGGAGCAAACAGG
rnacentral:rRNA from 1 species